rnacentral:rRNA from 1 species
UACGUAGGGGGCAAGCGUUGUCCGGAAUUAUUGGGCGUAAAGAGCGCGUAGGCGGUCCGGUAAGUCGGUUGUGAAAGUCGGGGGCUCAACCCUCGGAUGCCGAUCGAUACUGCCGGGCUAGAGUCCGGAAGAGGCGAGUGGAAUUCCUGGUGUAGCGGUGAAAUGACGCAGAUAUCAGGAGGAACACCAAUGGCGAAGGCAGCUCGCUGGGACGGUACUGACGCUGGAGGCGACGAAAGCGUGGGGAGCAAACAGG